GCUGAUUGAUGUUGCCUAAAAAAAUGUCGAUUGAUAGUAUAGAUUUUUCUUAUUGAAUCUCUAGGCUUGGGAACUCUCUAUAUAAAGGACUUGAGCAAAAGCGAAACACUUUUGCAAUUUUAAGGUAUCAUAAAAAUACACAGUUGAUGGUUGAUGGAUGCCGCUUCUCUCUUUCCAAAUGAGUUCUGUUUAGGUGUUUUCUUUAUUGCAAAUACAUUUUAGUGUUAUAGCAGAACAUAAUCUCUACCGGAUGCUUGGAGAUGUAAUCUUAUUGCAAACGUCUUUCCUCCAUUACCUUGGGACAACUCAAAACAAUCCAAAUUCUCUUCCAUUGGUACCUGUCUCAAAAUCCAUGUUGUAGAGUCUUUACAAAGGUUAGUCAAAGAAGAAGAGCAAAGCAUGCAUGGAUCUUCAUAUUGGAAAUGGUUUUGUGAAAUCUUGAAUCCUCCUUUUCUAUUGCGUAAUAUUCAUUCUACCCUUUUCUUUGUAUUAAUGAUUUUUGACGAAUCCAGAUUUCAGUGCUUCUUGAUCACUUAUGGCAUAUGGGGUUAUGAUGUGUUUGAUUUUUGCA